GUUGGGAAGAGGGUUUGACGAAGAUUCAGUUGGUGACAGCUGGAGAGUUAGUUCGGAGUUGUGAGAGAACAGAGUAUGGAGGCUCAGGAAGAAGAUGAAUUAGAGGAAUAGACAGUGGAACCCAGGCUGGGUUGACUUCCUCCUCCUUCCCCAGCAACAUUAGUUUCUACUCUUGACUGGUGAGAUAGUGAAGAGAAGGGAGGACAAGGCUGGCACAACUUACUUCCUCCUCUUGAACAGAUUGUGAGCCCUUUGGGGACAGGAAGCAACCAAAAGGCCUAAUGUUUCCUCAGAAGUGGUCACAAAGAAAUUGAAAGGAGAUGCUCCAACAACCUUGACUUAACAAUCAAGCCCAGUGCAUGGGGCAAUGUUGAAGUGUCUCAAAAAACUAUGGAAGUGCCCUGGAUGCUGAUCUGUGCAGGUGAAUUUAGGAACAUAGGAAGCUGCCUACUACCGAGUCAGAUCAUUGGUCCAUCUAGCUCAGUAUUGUCCACACA